rnacentral:rRNA from 1 species
CCUACGGGUGGCAGCAGUGGGGAAUAUUGCUCAAUGGGGGAAACCCUGAAGCAGCAACGCCGCGUGGAGGAUGAAGGUUUUCGGAUUGUAAACUCCUGUUGGUAGAGAAGAGAAUGACGGUAGCUAACGAAUAAGCACCGGCUAACGCCGUGCCAGCAGCCGCGGUAAUACGGAGGGUGCAAGCGUUACGCGGAACCACUGGGCGUAAAGAGCGCGUAGGCGGGAUAGCAAGUCAGAUGUGAAAUCCUAUGGCUUAACCAUAGAACUGCAUUUGAAACUGUUAUUCUAGAGUAUGGGAGAGGUAGGUGGAAUUCUUGGUGUAGGGGUUCACUCCGU